rfam:Ornithorhynchus anatinus chromosome 18, whole genome shotgun sequence.
CACCUCUCAGGGUCACAGCUGGAGAGUUUCCAGGACUCUACCAGUCUUGACUGUGGGAGGGAGAGUUAAGCAGAGUCCUAUCCAUUCCUAGCUUGGCCAGUGGCUAGCAAGUGGAAGGCAAUCUGCUAUAAGU